UGAAUGUGUUUCUAUUAUGGAGGUCACCGCCUGAGCUUCUCUUCCCUGUGAACGUCGUGGUCACUUCUGCUUGUUUUUCCUCUGAUUGUAGCAGCGGCGCCGAACGUUCUUUUCUAUUCUCCAUUGUCAUCAACAGUGGGUAUGGUGGAGCCUCUUCUGUGUUCGAUGUCCAGCUCUUCUCUUCCGUCUCUAUUCUUGUUGUGGUAUAGGGCAACUUCUCCUUCCCUGCCCUGUCAUCACUGAUUGAGUUCUGAUUGCUUUUGGAGAUGCAGAGCACUGUUUAGCUUGCUGUCCUUCUCCCUUGUUCAAGUUGUUUGUGUUGGUGUGGUGUUGGGUUGAGGUGAGAAGUUUCGAAGUUUCCUCUUGCUAGCUCUAUGUGUAUGUGCCUAAGUAGUUGAGAAAACAAUUUUUCUUACUUGGUUUGUAAGGCUACGCCUACACGUGUUUGUGAAAAAGGGGUUAUGGAACUAAGUUGAAUUUAAGUCCAAUAAAGAGGAUUUAGUUUGGACUUGAGCUGUAUUAGAAUUUAUAUUGAUUUUGUUAAAGGAAUGGAACUUGGGAAGUUGAUUUAUUCAUA